GGGAAUGUAGCUCAAGUAGAGUUCUUUCUUUUUUCAAGGUGAUCUAGGUUCAAACCCUAGCAUUCCCU
rnacentral:tRNA from 1 species